CCAUGUGCCUCACCUGUGUCCUGAAUAGCCAUCUGAGGGAGCUCUCAGUAGGCAUCUCCAGAGGUGCACUCAGGAUUGCCGAGGGUCCCAAAGUAAGGCUGUAGGACUGAAAUAUCCUUCAUUUUUAUGAGCUGGACGUGAUAACGCUGUGAAGUGAAUUAUACCGGUGCCGUGACGUGAUCCACGCGUGGGUUGGUAUUGAUUACCCACCAACACAGAUUGAUGGCAGAUGCCGAUUCAAAGCCUGGCUGCUAGAUAGCUGGGUGUGCGGGGCUGCUGAUCACUUAAAGCAUUGCUGUGAUUCACCGUAUUUAUUUAAGGCCGGAAUUUACUUCUAUCCCCACGGCGUUGCUUACACCUCUAAAAUCAAGUCUUGUUUCUUUGCAGGACGGGGAAGGCCAGACUGCACUCCAUUACGCCUCCGCCUGCGAGUUUUCUGACAUCGUGGAGCUGCUGCUGCAAUCCGGGGCCGACCCCACGCUGCGGGACAAGGAGGGCUGCCUGCCAGAGGAGGUGACAGACUGUAAGGCCAUCACCUCGGCCCUUCAGCGGCACACAGCAGGCAAGGUGUAGCCGUGCCACGCAGCCGGAUGGGUACCAUCGUGCAGCAAAGCCCUGCUCUCCUCCGAGCAGGCUGCGGGUCAGGGUUUUGCAUGCUCUGACAUCUAGCAGUAUUCCGGGGGAAGGAGAGGGGACAGGACUUGGAUAGGCCCCUGUGUUUUAGUGCACACUGCCAGGGAGGGCUGCUGGCACGGCCGGGGCUGUAGGGUUGCGUUACGGUUUGGGUUUUUUUUUCUUUUGGGUCCAAGCAAAAUAUUAUAAAUAAAACAAGCACAGUGUUGGGA